UGAUAUUUCCUAUGAAGAUGAAUAGCGAAAAAAAAAUUAUAUGUAUGAUAUAUUUUAAUUUUAAUCAGAUUAUGUAUGUAUUUUUAUGUAUUUUAAAUCAUAAAAUAUUAUAUUUGAUAUAUUAUUUGACAUCCGAUCUAAAACUUAAUUUUUGCAAAAUCUUAGAUCCAAAAUCUUAGGCUUUGUUUGCAUAAAAAAUAUGAAACUAUGACUGGUAUGCCUGUAGAGUCGACUC
rnacentral:lncRNA from 1 species